CUCCCAAUACUCAAAAGGCAAAGCAAUCACAAUCUGCAAGAAUACUACCGCAUACCAAACCCUUUCCCAAUUCUUUUCUAUUACUUCCUUUCCGCCUAGUUUGCUGACUCCCAACAAAUUGCAUAGCCUAACUUUGUUGCUUCGUUUCCGCCUUGUUGCUUCUUCCAGACAGUACUCUAGCGAAUCUCCAUCUCCUCUCUAUUGUCUUAACUUCAGAAUCGUCAAAGUUUUGGAGAAACAACAGAUGAUGCAUUUAGGGUUGUGUUUGGAAAGGAGCAGCCUGGUCGGGUUAGAUGCUAUGGUAGAUCGGUGACGAGAAGCUCUCUGAAAAAAGAUGAAGAAAUCACCAAACUUAAACAACAACAUGCCAUCGAAAUAACUUCUCUGAAGGAAGAAAUGAAGGAAAUGAUGAGAGAAGAAAUGCGAUGUCUUUUUAGUUCCUUCACUCGGUUGAUGCAAAUAGUGCACAAGCUAUGAGAGGCAAUAAUCUACCACAUUCUUCUAGCUCAACUCAUGCCCCGAGUCUUGAAAAGGAAAAUACCGGUGAUGCAAUUGGAAAUGGUGACCACAAAUAAAUUUGAUUCAUCAAAGUGAAUGGUGAAAACCUUUUGAACAAUUGUAAUGUUUAUUUUUUUUAUAUUUAUAUUAUAAUUAAAUAUGAAUACAUUUGGUUUUGUCGAGGUCUUUGCUAGUGAUCUUCUUGAACCAACAAUGCUUUAUUACUAUAUAGAUAGUACGCAAAGUAUGUUUCAUUGUUGAA